GAGGGAGGGCCGGCAGCCCGCUCCGCCCGCCAGCGGAACGACGGGGAACUUCGAGCCGGCGCCGCCUCCGCCCAGGCGCGCACAGCACAGCACCGCGCCGCCCGCCCGCAAAGGGGCUGCAGGGGAAGGCCGGGCCCAGCGCCUCAGCCAUGUCUGAGGGAGCCGCCAAGCUGCGCCUGAAGCCCAGGAAGGCGCCGCCAGCCUGCUGCCGGGAGCCCAGCCCUGGCCGGGAGCCCCCCCGGCGGCGCCAGGCAUUGGCUGACAGAUGUUCCUGGUUUGAAAAAGACGACUUAAAUGAGUGUGAAGACCCAUGGAUUUUGUUACUGAAAGACAUCAGUCAAGAUUUGCAAUGCACAAAUGGGCAAACAGUGCCCAGUUUUCCAGAGUUCAGUGGAAAGAGUUCUGAGGAAGAAAGUCUACAAAAACAAGAAGUCUUUACAGUUGGAAUGAAAGACUUUCAGUGGGUAUCAUUCCCAUCUUUUUGCAAAGAAAAAUGUCUGAAGCCAAAGGACCUUAGCUCCCAUCAGCUAACACAGAGCCAGAUCGACCAUUUGCAUAACGGACAGGGCCAAGCAGAUAAACCAGAAAGCUUACCUUCUACAGCUGAGAAAACAUGCUGUGUAACUGUUACAGAUCAAGCCAAGAACAUGGUUGGGGAAGACACAAAAGGCAUUUCAAAGCUGGAUGCAAGUCCUAAAUCAUGUAAACUCGCUCAGCACAGAACUUCUACACACCACUCGGCAUCGUCACAAAGCUCUGCAAAAGCUUUUAGCUUUCAACAGCACUGCAGAGGGACUGUACAGGACAGCGGGAAAAACAGAAAAGAAAACGAUAGCAAAGAGCUUCAGAUACAAACACAUCAAGGGACUAUUUUGUUUGGUGAGGCCAGAAACGUGCCUGCAGAAAAGCAGCCUCCUCUUGUGAGCAUACCUGGAACUGAAAGCUGCAAGGAGAAGACUGAAAAUCAGAGUGAAGGAUCUUCAACUCUUGACAGUUGUCCAAUGUGUCUGAUCCAUUUCAGCAGAACACUGUCACAGCUGGAUAUUGACAGCCAUCUUGCUAGGUGCUUGUCUGAAAGUGCUGACGACAUAACGUGGUAAAUGCAGAGGAAUGAAGAGCAAAGAAACAAGGCCAAAGGUGAACCUUUCUCAAAGGAAAAAAAAAAAAAACAACAAAAACAUGUCAAGGAAGCACAUUCUUGUCUCCAACUUGCUUAAGGAUCACAAAUCAGUAAUUCCAUAGAAGGUCAAGUGCCACCUGCCUGUUUGGGCACAUCGCGUCCGGAUCACAGCCUCACGGCUCCAGUCGGGGCCCUGUGGAAGGGCUGUACGCAGGAGCAGGACACUCAUGCCUCUUGCAGCUGUUCUGAUUGCAGCUGCCUUCACACAUGGUGAAGAGCCCAACUCAGGUGAACGCCCAUCAGCCUGAACAGUUUUUCUAUCUCAGCAAAGGUCUGCCCUGGACCUCAGAAAUGUAGGGCCCAGGUGCAGGGCCAAGACACAGAACACAGAGUACCUUGUCAAACCACAGGAAGAAUCCUAUAGAUUUAAUUUACAAUGGGGUCUCUGAAAAGUGCAAGUUGGACAGAGCUGAGUUUACUGAUAAAGAAUAACAGUCUAUUAACUUUUUCAUUAAAGUCUUUAAUAGAUGUGCAAGAAUAUAAAUGAUCUUAGCUGUUAUGGGUUAGUAUACCGCCUUCUGCACAAUUAAAACUGGUCAGCGAAGAUCCAACUAAAUUAUACAAAACUACAAGAACAUAUUUACUGUUUUACAAUCAUUAAGUUAGCUAGAAUUUUUAUUUACUAUUUCAAAUAAGACAACUAUAUAUCAUUACCAGAUCCAUUUGUAAUAUAUUAGGAUUUUUUUUUCCAAACCACACAUUUACUUACAUCCUUCAUUUUCUUUUAUUUAUAAAACAAGUACUUUAUAUAAAAAAUUUCCCCUUCAUCAUGAACAGAACAUUAUUCAAACACUUGCACAUGAGCAACCAAACUUGUAUCCAGCAAACUAUUUGGCAACACAGCAACAUUGUAAUUGCCUGUAAAUUUUUAAAUAAAAUCAAGUAGUCUUUACAAUG